rnacentral:hammerhead_ribozyme from 1 species
AUCCAGAUGAGGAGUCCGAAAUAAGACGAAAUUCAUAUCCUGGAU